rnacentral:rRNA from 1 species
UACAGAGGUCUCAAGCGUUGUUCGGAUUCAUUGGGCGUAAAGGGAGCGUAGGUGGCGGGGUAAGUCAGGUGUGAAAUCUCGGGGCUCAACCCCGAAACUCACCCGAUACUGCCUUGCUAGAGUACUGGAGAGGAGAUUGGAAUUUACGGUGUAGCAGUGAAAUGCGUAGAUAUCGUAAGGAAGACCAGUGGCGAAGGCGAAUCUCUGGACAGUUACUGACACUGAGGCUCGAAGGCCAGGGGAGCAAACGGG